AUUAUGGUAGCCGCUAUUCUCUUGGAAGAAGUUAUCUAACGAUAGGAAAUAAGGAUGCAGUGAUUAACAGUUGUUCAGAAUCACGUCAGGAAGACAAGUAUUUAUAUAUAACCUGUUCAUCGUGGAUCGCCAGAAAUCUAGAAUUAAAUGAAUCGUGUGAGCUAACAGAAGAGUGUAUACAAUCAUUGUCAGUUUGUUUGGAUGGAAAAUGCAAAUGUGUAAAUGGCUAUUCUGCAUUUGAUACAGAGGGCUGCCUUAAAGAUAAUGUUCCUGUCGGUGGAUUUUGUAGCUUACACGAACAAUGCACAGGAAGUAAUAAUUCUGGAGUAUGCGAAAAGGGAAGAUGUACAUGUACAAAAGGAUUUACAUUAAUUGAUUUGGCGUGUGAAAAAGGAAAUCUAACAUUAAAUGAUUCCUGUGAGCUAACAGAACAGUGUAUUCAACCAUUCUCAGUUUGUUUGGAUGGAAAAUGUCAAUGUUUAAAUGGUUUUUCUGCAUUUGAUACAGAUGGCUGCCUUAAAG